rnacentral:rRNA from 1 species
GACGAACGCUGGCGGCGUGCUUAACACAUGCAAGUCGAACGGAAAGGCCCUGCUUUUGUGGGGUGCUCGAGUGGCGAACGGGUGAGUAACACGUGAGUAACCUGCCCUUGACAUUGGGAUAACUUCAGGAAACUGGGGCUAAUACCGGAUAGGGGCUCCUGCUGCAUGGUGGGGGUUGGAAAGUUUCGGCGGUUGGGGAUGGACUCGCGGCUUAUCAGCUUGUUGGUGGGGUAGUGGCUUACCAAGGCUUUGACGGGUAGCCGGCCUGAGAGGGUGACCGGCCACAUUGGGACUGAGAUACGGCCCAGACUCCUACGGGAGGCAGCAGUGGGGAAUAUUGCACAAUGGGCGGAAGCCUGAUGCAGCAACGCCGCGUGCGGGAUGACGGCCUUCGGGUUGUAAACCGCUUUCGCCUGUGACGAAGCGUGAGUGACGGUAAUGGGUAAAGAAGCACCGGCUAACUACGUG